rnacentral:rRNA from 3 species
GGGGAAUUUUCCGCAAUGGGCGAAAGCCUGACGGAGCAAUACCGCGUGAGGGAGGAAGGCUCUUGGGUCGUAAACCUCUUUUAUCAGGGAAGAAACAAAUGACGGUACCUGAUGAAUCAGCAUCGGCUAACUCCGUGCCAGCAGCCGCGGUAAUACGGAGGAUGCAAGCGUUAUCCGGAAUUAUUGGGCGUAAAGCGUCCGCAGGUGGUUUUGAAAGUUUGCUGUCAAAGCGCGGAGCUUAACUUCGUACCGGCAGUGAAAACUCCAAGACUAGAGUUUGGUAGGGGUCACGGGAAUUCCCAGUGUAGCGGUGAAAUGCGUAGAGAUUGGGAAGAACACCAGCGGCGAAAGCGCGUGACUGGGCCUGAACUGACACUCAUGGACGAAAGCUAGGGGAGCGAAAGGGAUUAGAUACCCCUGUAGUCCUAGCCGUAAACGAUGACAACUAGGUGUUGCCCGUAUCGACCCGGGCAGUGCCGUAGCCAACGCGUUAAGUUGUCCGCCUGGGGAGUACGCACGCAAGUGUGAAACUCAAAGGAAUUGACGGGGGCCCGCACAAGCGGUGGAGUAUGUGGUUUAAUUCGAUGCAACGCGAAGAACCUUACCAAGGCUUGACAUGUCGCGAACCUUUGUGAAAGCAGAGGGUGCCUUCGGGAGCGCGAACACAGGUGGUGCAUGGCUGUCGUCAGCUCGUGUCGUGAGAUGUUGGGUUAAGUCCCGCAACGAGCGCAACCCUCGUUUCUAGUUGCCAUCAUUGAGUUGGGCACUUUAGAGAGACUGCCGGUGACAAACCGGAGGAAGGUGGGGAUGACGUCAAGUCAGCAUGCCCCUUACGCCUUGGGCUACACACGUACUACAAUGCUACGGACAAAGAGCCGCAAGUUCGCGAGGACAAGCAAAUCUCAUAAACCGUGGCUCAGUUCAGAUUGCAGGCUGCAACUCGCCUGCAUGAAGGCGGAAUCGCUAGUAAUCGCAGGUCAGCAUACUGCGGUGAAUACGUUCCCGGGCCUUGUACACACCGCCCGUCACACCAUGGAAGUUGGCCACGCCCGAAGUCGUUACUCCAACCGUUCGCGGAGGAGGAUGCCGAAGGCAGGGCUGAUGACUGGGGUGAAGUCGUAACAAGGUAGCCGUACCGGAAGGUGUGGCUGGAUCACCUCCU